rnacentral:rRNA from 1 species
GCAAUAAUACUGAUCCAGGCUCUUUGGGUCUUGUAAUUGAAUGAGUNCAUUUAAAUCCUUAACGAGAACCAUUGAAGGCCAGUCUGGUGCCAGCAGCCGGGGUAAUUCCAGCUCCAAUAGCGUAUAUUAAAGUUGUUGUGGUUAAAAAGCUCGUAGUUGAACCUUGGGCCUGGCUGGCCGGUCCGCCUCACCGCGUGUACUGGUCCGGCCGGGCCUUUCCCUCUGUGGAACCCCAUGCCCUUCACCGGGUGUGGCGGGGAAACAGGACUUUUACUGUGAAAAAAUUAGAGUGCUCCAGGCAGGCCUAUGCUCGAAUACAUUAGCAUGGAAUAAUAGAAUAGGACGUGUGGUUCUAUUUUGUUGGUUUCUAGGACCGCCGUAAUGAUUAAUAGGGACAGUCGGGGGCAUCAGUAUUCAAUUGUCAGAGGUGAAAUUCUUGGAUUUAUUGAAGACUAACUACUGCGAAAGCAUUUGCCAAGGAUGUUUUCAUUAAUCAGGAACGAAAGUUAGGGGAUCGAAGACGAUCAGAUACCGUCGUAGUCUUAACCAUAAACUAUGCCGACUAGGGAUCGGACGGUGUUAUUUUUUGACCCGUUCGGCACCUUACGAGAAAUCAAAGUGCUUGGGCUCCAGGGGGAGUAUGGUCGCAAGGCUGAAACUUAAAGAAAUUGACGGAAGGGCACCACCAGGGGUGGAGCCUGCGGCUUAAUUUGACUCAACACGGGGAAACUCACCAGGUCCAGACACAAUGAGGAUUGACAGAUUGAGAGCUCUUUCUUGAUUUUGUGGGUGGUGGUGCAUGGCCGUUCUUAGUUGGUGGAGUGAUUUGUCUGCUUAAUUGCGAUAACGAACGAGACCU